CCGACGGUGUUCUUGGACGGCCGGUCGUUCGGAAUCUC
rnacentral:sRNA from 1 species